CCAUCCUGAGUACGGGCAGUCCUCCUGGGGCACAAAGGUGGAGCUGUUUAUGGUCUCCUGGAGUCAGGGUGGGUCAUCCCUUCAGUUCCUGGAACAGUAGCUUUUACGAGCAUUGAUUACUAAGCAUAUUAGCUAUUACCUAAACUAAAAUUUUCCAAGUCUGGAGUCCCUAUCAGGAUGAUCAAAGGGGGUCUUUGAGGAAUCUGAACUCAAAGGUUCCUCAUCGUUGACUCCUUCCCCUGGGCACAUCCCUAGAGUAA